AUACAUUUCUCGGCCUCUUGGCCAAGAUCAAGUGUAGUAUCUACUCUUAUGCCAGUUUAAUAUCUGAUACAUGGAUCUACGGAUCUAAACCUGAGAAUGAUUUCAUAUUUGAACCAUACCUAUU
rfam:Hordeum vulgare subsp. vulgare, WGS project CAJW01000000 data, contig: morex_contig_2597888